GCCGUGACCCCUGUCCACGACGGCGCGAGCCACCCCUAUCUUCUCGCCCCUGUCCUUGCAGGCCGGCCGGCGCCGCCCCUCUUCUCGCCGGCCGCUCGGCGCCCACCGGCCUCCCACCCGCAUCCACACCUUUCCCAUCCACCGCCACCCACAUCCAGCAUGCACCCCUUCCCCAUUAGUGUCAGAUCCAAGCGGAGGCCGAGCCCCGGUGACGGAGGGCCACGUCCUAGCAGGAUGGAGGUCGCACACCUGAUGAGAGAGGGCCGUGCCCUAGUGGGCGGCGAGCCUCGAGGCACGAGCAGCCGAUGCCGCCGCGCGAGCAACAGGAGUCGCCGGAUCUCAUGGAGGAGGAUGUGGGUCGUCGUCAGUUGGGGCUACGUCGAUCUAUGAAUGGCGGUGGCAUCAAGGUAAAGUAAUCUAGAUCCUCUCUGGCCACAGCAUGUGCAUCCCUCUCUGAUUCGCAGGCCUGGUGAGAUCUUCAUCGUUAGUGCUCCUCUAGUCUCGCACUGCCUAGUCCCAGUUCUGUUUUGACGUUGUGAUGUUCAUCCUAGAUCUGCUGCUUCCAAAUGGAUUUGACAGAUGUGGAAAAGGUUGUGGAAUAGUCAACAAGAAGCUUGCAGAUCCGAUGUGAGGCAUGUGCGAUGCUGCCAGGCUCAUCACUUUCUUCCUGUACAUGUCUACUCAAGCUGCUAGUGCUUCAUGAUUUAGUCUAAAUCCGCUCAUAUUUGUACCUCUUCACCAUGGUUAGUUAUUGCUCUCAUUUUUGUUCAAAUUAGUUGUCACUUCUUUAUAAUUGAACAAUGUCCAUGCAUGAUGUAUGAAAAUUGCAGAGAAAUUAGAUGUAAAAUUGUAGACAAAUUACUUGUGAAAAUUAGCUGAUGGCCUUUAUGUUUGGUUCUUCAUUACAAUAGUAAACACUAGGAAAGACCGUGCAAUAGGUACACAUCUAAAAGUUCUCUGCAGCGAAUUUACAGUGUAAUUAUAACUUUCUAUUUGGUUGGGCAUA
rnacentral:lncRNA from 1 species